UCAAGCUACAAAGGGCGCAUGGUGAAUGCCUUGGCAUCAGGAGCCGAUGAAGGACGUGAUAAGCUGCGAUAAGCUUCGGGUAGGCGCACAUAGCCUGAGAUCCGAAGAUCUCCGAAUGAGGAAACUCACAUGGGAAACCCCAUGUAUCAUUAAGUGAAUACAUAGCUUAAUGAAGGUAACCCAGGGAACUGAAACAUCUAAGUACCUGGAGGAAGAGAAAGAAAAAUCGAUUUUCUUAGUAGCGGCGAGCGAAAGGGAAAGAGCCCAAACCGGAAACUUGUUUCCGGGGUUGUGGACAUAACAUAAAAGUGGAGGCUAUUGUAACUGAAGAGAACUGGAAAGUUCCACCGUAGAAGGUAAUAGUCCUGUAAGUGAAACGAGAAGACCACGAGUUAUGAUCCAGAGUACCACGAGACACGUGAAACCUUGUGGGAAGCAGGGAGGACCACCUCCCAAGGCUAAAUACUACCUGAUGACCGAUAGUGAAGCAGUACCGUGAGGGAAAGGUGAAAAGAACCCCGGGAGGGGAGUGAAAUAGAACCUGAAACCAUGUGCCUACAACCGCUCAGAGCCCCUUAUGAGGGUGAUGAGGUGCUUUUUGUAGAACGAGCCAACGAGUUACGGUAUGUAGCAAGGUUAAGUACUUAAGGUACGGAGCCGAAGGGAAACCGAGUCUGAAUAGGGCGACUAGUUGCAUGCCGUAGACCCGAAACCGGGUGACCUAUCCAUGGCCAGGUUGAAGCGAGGGUAAAACCUCGUGGAGGACCGAACCACGUUGCUGUUGAAAAAGCAUGGGAUGAGCUGUGGAUAGCGGAGAAAUUCCAAUCGAACCCGGAGAUAGCUGGUUCUCUCCGAAAUAGCUUUAGGGCUAGCGUCGAGUAUGAGUAGUGGAGGUAGAGCACUGAAUGGGCUAGGGGGCAUAGCGCUUACCGAACCUUAUCAAACUCCGAAUGCCACAUACUUUGAGCUCGGCAGUCAGACUACGAAUGAUAAGAUCCGUGGUCAAAAGGGAAACAGCCCAGAUCGUCAGCUAAGGUCCCAAAGUGUAAGUUAAGUGGGAAAGGAUGUGAGAUUUCUAAGACAACUAGGAUGUUGGCUUAGAAGCAGCCAUUCAUUAAAAGAGUGCGUAAUAGCUCACUAGUCGAGAGAUCUUGCGCCGAAAAUGUAACGGGGCUAAACUUACCACCGAAGCUACGGGCUUGAACUUAGUUCAAGCGGUAGGAGAGCGUCGUAACCGGGCUGAAGUCGUACCGUAAGGAGCGGUGGACUGGUUACGAGUGAGAAUGUUGGCAUCAGUAGCGAGAUGUGGGUGAGAAUCCCACAGGCCGAAAACCUAAGGUUUCCUCAGGAAGGUUCGUCCGCUGAGGGUUAGUCGGGACCUAAGCCGAGGCCGAAAGGCGUAGGUGAUGGACAACUGGUUGAUAUUCCAGUACCACUACCAUCGUUAUUAUCGAUGGCGUGACGCAGGAGGAUAGUGUGUGCUAGCUAUUGGAUGCUAGUCUAAGCGUUUAGGCAGUGAGAGUAGGCAAAUCCGCUCUCAUAAUGCUGAGGCGUGAUGGGGAAGGUUCCACGGAACCGAAGUACAUGAUUCCACGCUGCCAAGAAAAGCGUCUAGAGAGAGAAGUAGUGCCCGUACCGCAAACCGACACAGGUAGGUGAGGAGAGAAUCCUAAGGCCGGCGGAAGAAUUACAGUUAAGGAACUCGGCAAAUUGACCCCGUAAGUUCGCGAGAAGGGGUGCCUACGAGAGUAGGCCGCAGAGAAUAGGCCCAAGCAACUGUUUAGCAAAAACACAGGUCUCUGCUAAAGCGUAAGCUGAUGUAUAGGGGCUGACGCCUGCCCGGUGCUGGAAGGUUAAGGGGAACACUUAGCGCAAGCGAAGGUGUGAACUUAAGCCCCAGUAAACGGCGGCCGUAACUAUAACGGUCCUAAGGUAGCGAAAUUCCUUGUCGGGUAAGUUCCGACCCGCACGAAAGGCGUAACGAUUUGGGCACUGUCUCAACGAGAGACUCGGUGAAAUUUUAGUACCUGUGAAGAU
rnacentral:rRNA from 1 species